ACUCUUUGUCUUUGAUGAUCAUAACAUGACGUCAUUUUUCUGGGGUUUUUCUACCUAAAAAACGUUAUUCCUGUUGUGUUCCUGUUGUUAUUGUAAAUAUUUGAUAAAUAAAGCUAAUAGCAAUGCUAAAGCUGACUUAGUAAAGUAAAAGGCUCAAAAUGACUAUAAAGUUAGUACGAACGGAUGCCGUGGAUCCAUGUAAGAUUCAACUGCCCCUCGGUGAACAUGUUUUUGGACGAGGCAAAUUACUUGAAUGUGACGAUAAAAGGAUAUCACGUCAACAUGGGAAGUUGAGUGUCAGUAUUGAUUCAUUAACUAUAACAGCGUUGCAUCAAAACCCCUGUUUCUUCAUAAAAAAGGGUGUAACUAACAUGGAGGUACUAAGACAGAACAAUACAAUAACUCUAUGUAAUGGAGAUAAAUUUGGUUUAUUACCAGACACAUUUUGGUAUGAAGUGAUAUUCUGUUCUGGUCUCGAAGCUAAUAAUGUUGACACUGAGAGAAAUACAGAAGAAUAUGGUGUCAGUAACAAUGAGUGUGAUAAAACUACCCAGGGUGAUGUGAACCAAACAGAAACUAGCGAUUUUCAUAAUUCUGAUGAUGGUUUUGAUAAUGAAAUAGCUAAAUUAGAGCCUUUGAUAGCAACUGGAAAUAAUGAUCCAACACAAGAACUGAACAAUGAUCCCGAAAUAACAAAUUCAAAUCAAAUAUCAGAGAAAACGAUUGAACUAAGUGAAGUUAAUACAAAUAAGGAAGGUCAAUUAAAUGAACAAAAUGAACCAAAUGUAGAGAAUGAAGCAGAUUUGCAAAAUGAACCCAAUGUACAAAGUGAACCAAUUGUGCAAAAUGAACCAAAUUUAGAAAAUGAAACAAAUGCUCCAUCAAAUGAUGAAAGCAAUUCAAGUAAAAGGAGCCACAGUCCAGACAACAGUGAUGUGAAAAAAAUCAAAACUGAACCUGUUGAAGUAAAAAGUGAAAAUACUGAGGAUGUGAAGCCGGGACCCAGUUUAAAUCAAGUGCCAGCAAAGGACGGUGCGGCGUGCGCCAACAACGCGCCUAACAACAAUCAGCCCCUGCGCGAAAGGUGCAUGUACGGCGCCAACUGUUACAGAAAGAACCCCCAACAUCUAUCUCAGUUCAGCCACCCGCGGGACUCGGACUGGGGCCCCGGCGAGCGCGGCAUCUGUCCCUACGGCGCGUCGUGCGGGAAGACCGACCCCCGCCACUGGCGCGACCACGACCACCCGCCGGGGAAGGUGCCGCCCCCCAGACCAGGUAUGCAAGUGGUGCAGCGUCACGGCAACGUGUUCUACAUCAACGCGCACUCGGUCAACUUCUACGACGACCGCUUCCAGGUUGAGGACUCGGACGGCGACAGCGUCGACUUUGAUUACGAGUUUUAAUCAUGAAUCUUCUAUAAUAUACAGGGUGUAACCAGAACGAUAGCAAAAAUGAUUGAUAUCGAUUACCCGGUCAGAAGAAAAAGCGCGAUAGAAGAGUCAGUAGCGACUCCGACGACUCUCCAGCUCAGGGCUUGGUCGUGGCCGGCAAGCGGGCUCGCAAGGCCAUUGCGCGGCCGCAGCCCUGC